rnacentral:rRNA from 1 species
CCUACGGGAGGCAGCAGUGAGGAAUAUUGGUCAAUGGCCGGAAGGCUGAACCAGCCAUGCCGCGUGAAGGUCAGUGCCCUAUGGGCGUUAAACUUCUUUUGUGCGGGAGCAAUAAUGGUCACGUGUGGCCAGACGAGAGUACCGUACGAAUAAGCAUCGGCUAACUCCGUGCCAGCAGCCGCGGUAAUACGGGGGAUGCAAGCGUUCUCCGGAUUUAUUGGGGUUAAAGGGUGCGUAGGCUGUGAGGUAAGUCAGCGGUGAAAUGCCCCCGCUCAACGGGGUGAAGUGCCAUUGAUACUGCCUUGCUGGAAUGCGGAUGCCGUGGGAGGAAUGUGUGGUGUAGCGGUGAAAUGCAUAGAUAUCACACAGAACACCGAUUGCGAAGGCAUCUCACGAAUCCGCGAUUGACGCUGAUGCACGAAAGCGUGGGUAUCAAACAGGAUUAGAUACCCCAGUAGUC